rnacentral:rRNA from 1 species
AGUGAACGCUGGCGGUAGGCCUAACACAUGCAAGUCGAACGGCAGCACAGUAAGAGCUUGCUCUUACGGGUGGCGAGUGGCGGACGGGUGAGGAAUAUAUCGGAAUCUACUCUUUCGUGGGGGAUAACGUAGGGAAACUUACGCUAAUACCGCAUACGACCUACGGGUGAAAGCAGGGGAUCUUCGGACCUUGCGCGAUUGAGUGAGCCGAUGUCGGAUGGGAUAGUUGGCGGGGUAAAGGCCCACCAAGGCGACGAUCCGAAGCUGGUCUGAGCGGAUGAUCGGCCACACUGGAACUAGAACACGGACCAGACUACUGCGGAAGGCAGCAGUGGGAAAUGUUGGACAAUGGGCGGAAGCAUGAACCAGCCAUCCCGCGUGGGUGAAAGAGACCUUCGGGUUGUAAUGCCCUUUUGUUGGGAAAGAAAAGCAGCAGGUUGAUACCCCGCUGUUAUGACGGUACCCAAUGAAGAAGCACCGGCUAACUUCGUG